rnacentral:rRNA from 1 species
AUUCCCCUAGUAACUGCGAGUGAAGCGGGAAAAGCUCAAAUUUAAAAUCUGGCGGUCCUUGUGGCCGUCCGAGUUGUAAUUUAGAGAAGUGUUAUCCGCGCUGGACCGUGUACAAGUCUCCUGGAAUGGAGCGUCAUAGAGGGUGAGAAUCCCGUCUUUGACACGGACUACCAGGGCAUUGUGAUGCGCUCUCAAAGAGUCGAGUUGUUUGGGAAUGCAGCUCAAAAUGGGUGGUAAAUUCCAUCUAAAGCUAAAUAUUGAGGAGAGACCGAUAGCGAACAAGUACCGUGAGGGAAAGAUGAAAAGAACUUUGGAAAGAGAGUUAAACAGUACGUGAAAUUGCUGAAAGGGAAACGCUUGAAGUCAGUCGCGUUGUACAGAACUCAGCCUGGCUUUUGCUUGGKGUACUUUCUGUGCGACGGGUCASCAUCAGUUUUGGU